UACGGAGGGUGCAAGCGUUAUCCGGAAUCAUUGGGUUUAAAGGGUCCGUAGGCGGGCUAAUAAGUCAGAGGUGAAAUCCCACAGCUUAACUGUGGCACUGCCUUUGAUACUGUAGUUCUUGAAUAUAGUCGGAGUAGGCGGAAUGUGUAGUGUAGCGGUGAAAUGCUUAGAUAUCACACAGAAUACCCAUUGCGAAGGCAGAUCACUAACAAUAUACUGACGCUCAUGGACGAAAGCGUGGGGAGCGAACGGG
rnacentral:rRNA from 1 species